GACUUCAGGAAACUGGGGCUAAUACCGGAUAGGAGCUCCUGCUGCAUGGUGGGGGUUGGAAAGUUUCGGCGGUUGGGGAUGGACUCGCGGCUUAUCAGCUUGUUGGUGGGGUAGUGGCUUACCAAGGCUUUGACGGGUAGCCGGCCUGAGAGGGUGACCGGCCACAUUGGGACUGAGAUACGGCCCAG
rnacentral:rRNA from 1 species